CAUAAAGUAUGUAUUUUUUUGUGAAACACUAAAUGUAUGUCAGGGAAAAGUAAUUUCCUACGGCUCUCUUCCUUAGUCUUUCCCCGCCUAAUUGCAGGCGUAUCCAUUUGAUUCACCCGGAUUCACGUUUUUGGUUUAACAGCGAGGUCACGUUCAAUGACGUAGACAAGCAUAUCAGCUACGUGCAACCAUAUUUAAAUACAUCAAGGAAAUUAGUGCAUCAAAAUAUGCAAAUCCAGCUUACCAUCUAGCCGCUGUGGGAGUAAUUCCCCCCACCGGUUCUUGGGUAUUUGAUUGCCGUUUUGAAAGCGAACAUUGCCUUGUUUGUUUUUGACGAAGCUCCGAGCGUGUGUGAGCGGUACGGAUCGGAAACAUGAAGUGAAGAAACCAAGGGUUCUGCCUGGGAAAUCGCCUGUGCAUAAUGAGACGACCUGCUCUGCCAUUCUCAAUGCUUCGACGCUGUUGGUUCGGCGUAAAGGGUGGGGAUAGUGUAUCAUUACACCGUUUUCAACCAUCCCGCAACCAUCCUACAACCAUUCUCAAUAUGACACAGCACCUUCAAUGAAUCCAGGCAUGUCUAUAUUUAUUUAUAGACCACUCAGGAUUUUAUGUGCUCUUUAGUAGAGCUCAUACUCUGUGACCCAUUUUUGCAUUAAAUUCGAUGGGGGAAUUAUUUUCAGUCCCCGAAAUGUGGACAAUUUCACUCAUAUUGUCGGACUGUCUUCUUUGUUGCAUUUUUUUCAUUCCAAAUACUCAGAAUAAAUGUAUGUUAACUGGCUAAAUGUAUCAUUAGGAUUAAUUAUGUUAUUUUAAUGUUAAGUGAGACAAACCUUGGUUGUAAAUGUCAAAUAAAAGUCUGAAUUCUGAGUUCCCAUGAAUCUCAGUGCCAUAAUGUUGUACAAUUGGAACAAAUAAACCAAGAAAUGCCAUAGCCAUGUCUCAUUGUCUCAAUGUCAUGUUGUCCAUAUUGUGUUAUAUUUGUAGAAUGUCAAUGACGCCACACAUUCAUUUAGUCAUUAUCUGGUGACAGUUGGUAAAUAUUAUGUAAACUAUUAAAUUAAUGAUUCUGUUUUCAUAUACAAAAUAUCUGUCUUCAUAUUGGGUCUACCAUGUUUAAGUAUCAAGGUGAAGGGCAUUUGGAAAGAAAUGGACAAACACAAUGAAGUCACAGGGCCUAUGGAGAGCAAUGGACAAACACAAUGAAGUCACACCAAAACAUCGGGAUAACUAAGAAAGCCAAUAACUUUACUGAAUUCUCUGCAAAAUACAAAUACCUUUCCCCAGCAGAAUAAACUUUUAUUUCAGGUUCCAUGCUUUUUCACUACAUACAGCUGAAUCAAGUCCCGAGAGAUACAGAGAUGUGGUUUUAAUUGAAUAACAUCGUAUCUUCAAGUUGCGACAAAGGCCAGCUUAUGCCGCUGAAAGCCGCUCUUGCGUUCCAAACACUAAUUUCAGACCGCCACAAUUUUCAGAUUUAUACAAGCUACAUUAGAUACUACAGACUGGUAAGUAUUUUUAGCUAUUCACACACACACACACACACACACACACACACACACACACACACACACACACACACACACACACACACACACACACACA
ensembl:lncRNA